AUGAAUUCAGAGGCUGAUCCACGCAAAGGAAAAACUAUCAUCACAUACAACUCGGAUGCCGGUUCCAGUUCUGUUCCGGCCGUUGUACCCUGGAAACCUCCUACCCAUGGCAAUGUUAAGCUGAAUACGGAUGGAUCAUUCGUGUCAGUUGGAGAGGCUGGUGCGGGUAUGAUCCUCAGGAAUGAGACAGGAGCUAUUAUCUUUUCGGCAUGCAGGAAAUUACAUUCGUGUCAAGAUGCGUUGGAAGCAGAACUCUGUGCGUGCAAGGAGGGUCUCUCGAUUGCUGUUCAGAGGUGUAAUUCACCUAUUACCGUCGAGAUGGAUUCAAUCAAUGCGGUGAACUUAAUUCGCAGUAAGACGACGGAUCGCUCCGUACACGCUCACCUGGUGCAAGAGAUAAAACAGUUAGCUGGUACUGUUAGUGCUUGUAUUACUCACGUCCCCCACUCUUGUAAUGCAGCUAGUGAUAGGCUGGCUUCUUAUGCCAGGACUAGCAAUAGAACGGUGACUUGGUUGGGGUCCGGACCGCUUGAGGUCCUGGAUAUUGUUGGUGAGGAUUGUAAGAACUUUAUAACUGAGUAA
rnacentral:rRNA from 1 species